GACACGCAGCCCGGACGAGAUUGNCGGCNGCCCCUNUUAUGCUUCCGGCGGGGCCCGCCAUUCAGGCCGCCGGGGGCUCUCAGCCCCGGGCCCGCGACCCGCCGGAGACACCACGAACUCUGUCUGAUCUAGUGAAGUCUGAGUUGAUUGUAUCGCAAUCAGUUAAAGACUUUCAACAAUGGAUCGUCUUGGUUCCGGCGAUCGGAUGAAAGAACGCAGCGAAAUGCGAUAACUAGUGUGCAAUUGCAGCAAUUCCGUGAAUCAUCGCAGUCUUUGAACGCACAUUGCGCCCCCUGGUAUUCCGGGGGGCAUGCCUGUCCGAGCGUCAUUGCUGCCCAUCAAGCACGGCUUGUGUGUUGGGUCGUCGUCCCCUCUCCGGGGGGGACGGGCCCCAAAGGCAGCGGCGGCACCGCGUCCGAUCCUCGAGCGUAUGGGGCUUUGUCACCCGCUCUGUAGGCCCGGCCGGCGCUUGCCGAACGCAAAUCAAUCUUUUCCAGGUUGACCUCGGAUCAGGUAGGGAUACCCGCUGAACUUAAGCAUAUCAAU
rnacentral:rRNA from 1 species